UACGAAGGGGGCUAGCGUUGCUCGGAAUCACUGGGCGUAAAGGGCGCGUAGGCGGCUUGCCAAGUCGGGGGUGAAAGCCCGUGGCUCAACCACGGAAUGGCCUUCGAUACUGGCAGGCUUGAGACCGGAAGAGGACAGCGGAACUGCGAGUGUAGAGGUGAAAUUCGUAGAUAUUCGCAAGAACACCAGUGGCGAAGGCGGCUGUCUGGUCCGGUUCUGACGCUGAGGCGCGAAAGCGUGGGGA
rnacentral:rRNA from 1 species